UAAAUAAAUAAGUAGGUAUGGUAGCUCAUACCUACAAUCCCAGUGCUUUGGGAGGCCGAGGCAGUAGGAUUGUUUGAACCCAGGAGUUCAAGACCAGCCUGGGCAACAUAGCAAGAUCCUGUCUCUAUUUUGUUUUUUAAUGGGAAAAAAAAUCAAAAUAAUAACAAAAAUAGAUAAAAGGAGAAAUCAAUGAACUAGAGAACAAAAAGACAGUAAAUCUAA
rnacentral:lncRNA from 1 species